rnacentral:rRNA from 1 species
GGUUAAGCGACUAAGCGUACACGGUGGAUGCCCCGGCAGUCAGAGGCGAUGAAGGACGUGCUAAUCUGCGAUAAGCGUCGGUAAGGUGAUAUGAACCGUUAUAACCGGCGAUUUCCGAAUGGGGAAACCCAGUGUGAUUCGUCACACUAUCAUUAACUGAAUCCAUAGGUUAAUGAGGCGAACCGGGGAACUGAAACAUCUAAGUACCCCGAGGAAAAGAAAUCAACCGAGAUUCCCCCAGUAGCGGCGAGCGAACGGGGAGGAGCCCAGAGCCUGAAUCAGUGUGUGUGUUAGUGGAAGCGUCUGGAAAGGCGCGCGAUACAGGGUGACAGCCCCGUACACAAAAAUGCACAUGCUGUGAGCUCGAUGAGUAGGGCGGGACACGUGGUAUCCUGUCUGAAUAUGGGGGGACCAUCCUCCAAGGCUAAAUACUCCUGACUGACCGAUAGUGAACCAGUACCGUGAGGGAAAGGCGAAAAGAACCCCGAGCGAGGGGAGUGAAAAAGAACCUGAAACCGUGUACGUACAAGCAGUGGGAGCACAGAGCAAUCUGUGUGACUGCGUACCUUUUGUAUAAUGGGUCAGCGACUUAUAUUCUGUAGCAAGGUUAACCGAAUAGGGGAGCCGAAGGAAACCGAGUCUUAACUGGGCGUUAAGUUGCAGGGUAUAGACCCGAAACCCGGUGAUCUAGCCAUGGGCAGGUUGAAGGUUGGGUAACACUAACUGGAGGACCGAACCGACUAAUGUUGAAAAAAUUAGCGGAUGACUUGUGGCUGGGGGUGAAAGGCCAAUCAAACCGGGAGAUAGCUGGUUCUCCCCGAAAGCUAUUUAGGUAGCGCCUCGUGAAUUCAUCUCCGGGGGUAGAGCACUGUUUCGGCAAGGGGGUCAUCCCGACUUACCAACCCGAUGCAAACUGCGAAUACCGGAGAAUGUUAUCACGGGAGACACACGGCGGGUGCUAACGUCCGUCGUGAAGAGGGAAACAACCCAGACCGCCAGCUAAGGUCCCAAAGUCAUGGUUAAGUGGGAAACGAUGUGGGAAGGCCCAGACAGCCAGGAUGUUGGCUUAGAAGCAGCCAUCAUUUAAAGAAAGCGUAAUAGCUCACUGGUCGAGUCGGCCUGCGCGGAAGAUGUAACGGGGCUAAACCAUGCACCGAAGCUGCGGCAGCGACGCUGAUGCGUUGUUGGGUAGGGGAGCGUUCUGUAAGCCUGUGAAGGUGUGCUGUGAGGCAUGCUGGAGGUAUCAGAAGUGCGAAUGCUGACAUAAGUAACGAUAAAGCGGGUGAAAAGCCCGCUCGCCGGAAGACCAAGGGUUCCUGUCCAACGUUAAUCGGGGCAGGGUGAGUCGACCCCCUAAGGCGAGGCCGAAAGGCGUAGUCGAUGGGAAACAGGUUAAUAUUCCUGUACUUGGUGUUACUGCGAAGGGGGGACGGAGAAGGCUAUGUUGGCGGGCGACGGUUGUCCCGGUUUAAGCGUGUAGGCUGGUUUUCCAGGCAAAUCCGGAAAAUCAAGGCUGAGGCGUGAUGACGAGGCACUACGGUGCUGAAGCAACAAAUGCCCUGCUUCCAGGAAAAGCCUCUAAGCAUCAGGUAACAUCAAAUCGUACCCCAAACCGACACAGGUGGUCAGGUAGAGAAUACCAAGGCGCUUGAGAGAACUCGGGUGAAGGAACUAGGCAAAAUGGUGCCGUAACUUCGGGAGAAGGCACGCUGAUAUGUAGGUGAGGUCCCUCGCGGAUGGAGCUGAAAUCAGUCGAAGAUACCAGCUGGCUGCAACUGUUUAUUAAAAACACAGCACUGUGCAAACACGAAAGUGGACGUAUACGGUGUGACGCCUGCCCGGUGCCGGAAGGUUAAUUGAUGGGGUCAGCGCAAGCGAAGCUCUUGAUCGAAGCCCCGUAAACGGCGGCCGUAACUAUAACGGUCCUAAGGUAGCGAAAUUCCUUGUCGGGUAAGUUCCGACCUGCACGAAUGGCGUAAUGAUGGCCAGGCUGUCUCCACCCGAGACUCAGUGAAAUUGAACUCGCUGUGAAGAUGCAGUGUACCCGCGGCAAGACGGAAAGACCCCGUGAACCUUUACUAUAGCUUGACACUGAACAUUGAGCCUUGAUGUGUAGGAUAGGUGGGAGGCUUUGAAGUGUGGACGCCAGUCUGCAUGGAGCCGGCCUUGAAAUACCACCCUUUAAUGUUUGAUGUUCUAACGUUGGCCCCUGAUCGGGGUUGCGGACAGUGUCUGGUGGGUAGUUUGACUGGGGCGGUCUCCUCCUAAAGAGUAACGGAGGAGCACGAAGGUUGGCUAAUCCUGGUCGGACAUCAGGAGGUUAGUGCAAUGGCAUAAGCCAGCUUGACUGCGAGCGUGACGGCGCGAGCAGGUGCGAAAGCAGGUCAUAGUGAUCCGGUGGUUCUGAAUGGAAGGGCCAUCGCUCAACGGAUAAAAGGUACUCCGGGGAUAACAGGCUGAUACCGCCCAAGAGUUCAUAUCGACGGCGGUGUUUGGCACCUCGAUGUCGGCUCAUCACAUCCUGGGGCUGAAGUAGGUCCCAAGGGUAUGGCUGUUCGCCAUUUAAAGUGGUACGCGAGCUGGGUUUAGAACGUCGUGAGACAGUUCGGUCCCUAUCUGCCGUGGGCGCUGGAGAACUGAGGGGGGCUGCUCCUAGUACGAGAGGACCGGAGUGGACGCAUCACUGGUGUUCGGGUUGUCAUGCCAAUGGCACUGCCCGGUAGCUAAAUGCGGAAGAGAUAAGUGCUGAAAGCAUCUAAGCACGAAACUUGCCCCGAGAUGAGUUCUCCCUGACUCCUUGAGAGUCCUGAAGGAACGUUGAAGACGACGACGUUGAUAGGCCGGGUGUGUAAGCGCAGCGAUGCGUUGAGCUAACCGGUACUAAUGAACCGUGAGGCUUAACCUU